GACGGAGGGUGCUAGCGUUGUUCGGAAUCACUGGGCGUAAAGGGCGCGUAGGCGGCCUUGCAAGUCGGUUGGUGAAAGCCCGGGGCUCAACCCCGGAGGUGCGGCCGAGACUGCGAGGCUGGAGGCCGGAAGAGGAGGGUGGAAUACCCAGUGUAGAGGUGAAAUUCGUAGAUAUUGGGUGGAACACCGGUGGCGAAAGCGGCUCUCUGGUCCGGACCUGACGCUGAGGUGCGAAAGCGUGGGGAGCAAACAGG
rnacentral:rRNA from 1 species